UACGGAGGGUGCGAGCGUUAAUCGGAAUUACUGGGCGUAAAGCGUGCGUAGGUGGUUAAUUAAGUUAUCUGUGAAAUCCCUGGGCUCAACCUGGGCAGGUCAGAUAAAACUGAAUAACUCGAGUAUGGGAGAGGGUAGUGGAAUUUCCGGUGUAGCGGUGAAAUGCGUAGAGAUCGGAAGGAACACCAGUGGCGAAGGCGGCUACCUGGCCUAAUACUGACACUGAGGCACGAAAGCGUGGGGAGCAAACAGG
rnacentral:rRNA from 1 species